rnacentral:lncRNA from 1 species
GCACACUGCGUCAGCCGGACUUGCUCUGCAGCUGGGUUCUUUGGAGGCCCCCACUCCGCGGCUACUGAAGCGGAUGACUACACCUGGAUCUCCCGAGGGCAUCUCCUAAUUCCUUGAUAUCCCGGGGCCUAGCACACGAUGGAUACUCAGCACUUCUAAGCUGAGUUACUGCAUCUUCCUUUGCAAGGUCUCACGCAGUCCCCCAUCGUCCUCUCUUUGUCUUGGUGCCCACCACCUCCUUCACCACCAUGCAGACCCUCCCCACCCCUCACCACAGCACUGCCUCGGUCAUCAACCCCGCUUCCCGCCUUUCAUCACUGCUACUGUCAGGCUGAAGAGUCACAGGAGGUUCCUCACUGUAAAGAAUGGAUUCUGCGCUCCUUAGAUUAGCAUUCCGAGAUGUCCAGGUGCAGCCCUACACCUAUUUCCAGCCUUGCCUCGCCUCUGGAGCAGGCUUUAUAAACUGCGCCGCGUGGCCCUUCCUUUGCUCUCUACUUCCUCUUCGUGCUCUCCCAUCUUACCUCUGAGCUUUACCUACUUGUCUUACUCCAGUUUCAGCACCUCGCUCAAAAGCCACGGCUCUCACGAGUUUUCCCUCAAUUCUGAGCCUAUGUAUUUCCUUGCUCCAAGGUUUGUGGCAAUUUAGCACUUGCCCAUUGUGUCCUGUAUCAUAAGAUUCUGUGUACUAACUUUCUUCUUCAAGGAGUUAAAAACACUUUCAGAGAAGGGGCAUAUUUUGUUCCGAUUUGUAUCUCUGACAGUAUCAAUCAUUCAAAUAAAUGUUCAACCAA